UUGUCUUGUCUUGCUGCACCUAGACUUACACAGUUCACAGAGCACAAGGCAUGCUGUGGACUCUGACCUUACUUCUAGCUUUCUUGCCUGCUGGCAGACAAACAUCCUCCUACUUGGAAGAAAGAAUCAUGUCAAUCACCAGGCCAGUGGGGUCCUCUGUCAUAAUCACUUGUGAUAUUCACGGAAACGACAAUUACAUCCACUGGUACCGAUUCCAGAAAGGGCAGGACCCACAGCACCUUCUCUACUAUAACUCCAUCAGUUCCACAACUGUAGUGGAUUCCAGACUCGAUCCUGAGAAAUACCAUGUUUAUGAAGGCACGGACAGGAGUUAUAAAUUUGUACUUCGGAAUGUGGAGGAAUCCGAUUCUGCUCUGUAUUACUGUGCCACCUGGGCUCCCACAGUGAUUCAGCCCCGCCCUCAUCUGCACUGA